rnacentral:lncRNA from 1 species
UUUUUAUGAAUGGGGGGCCGGAAAGGAACUUAACCCGUCGUUGCUGGGGGCUGUCGCUCCUUACCGGGCUGUCGCGCCUUACAAAGAGGAAUGAUUGUUGGGUUUUUUUUUUCUUAAAUGAAUGGAGGGCGGCGGCAAGCAGCAGCUGCAGCUGGAUCAGCUGCGCGUGCUGUACCCCACCCGGCCUGGGAAAGAAGAGCCUGCUCCCUCCCCCCAACUGGAAAAGAAGACAUCCAUUUUCUAAUGGGCUCACAGCUGUCUCCAGCCUCCGGAAAGGCAUCCCCGGAGCAGUCGGUGUGAAGUGGGUAGUUAAUUCCAGGCCUUCCUGCCUUGAAGUGUCCCUGGGACUGGGGGCUUCACUGCAUUCCCUUCACACCUGGCCUAUAUGGGGGAAGGCUGCCCAGAAGAGGCUUUGA